rnacentral:tRNA from 2 species
GGUGAGGUAGCUUAACUGGUAAAGCGUCCCCUUGGAAGGCAAACGAGUUUGUUUUCUUUCCAAGGGACAGAAGAAGGUUCAAGUCCUUCCUUCACCC